UCCCUUUUUUUUUAAUUGGCCAAAAUAUUUUCUCUCUCUAAACAGCAUUAGCACUGACCCGCUCUCUCAUUUUCUCCCCCUAAUUGACCCUCUCUUUCAUUCCCCACUCCCCAGAUGAGGCAUCUUCGAAGAGUCUAGUGGUUGUUGAGAUGGAGAAUGCAUUUUUGAGAAUGGAGAAGCCUCCUACUGAUGAUAUUUGUCCUAUUUGCUUUGGAAAUAUUGUUGUUCCUUGUCGAUGUCCCUGCGGUCACUGGUACUGUGGGAAGGGUUCAUACGGUCCUGUUUAUAAAACUCGACACUUGAGGACUUCAGAAAUGGUUGCCAUCAAAGUCAUAUCAUUAUCUGAAUGGGAUGAAGGCUAUGAAGAAAUUCGAGGUGAAAUUGAGAUGUUACAGCAGUGCAGUCAUCUAAAUGUUGUUCGCUAUCUUGGUAGCUACCAAGGAGAAGAGUACCUUUGGAUAGUAAAGGAGUAUUGUGGGGGUGGAAGUGUUGCUGACUUGAUGAAUGUUACAGACGAGGCUUUAGAGGAGUAUCAAAUAAUUUAUUUGUCGAGAGGCAUUGAAGAUGUGAUGUAGGGCCUCUCCUAUCUGCACUCUAUUUUUAAACUACACAGAGAUAUUAAAGGUGGCAAUAUCUUGCUAACUGAUCAAGGAGAGAUUAAGUUGGGAAAAAAAUCAGAAUAUUGUUUGCUAGUUUUGAAAGAAAAGGUUCUUGGAUUCUACAUAAUCUGGAAUAAUUUGUCACCUAAAUGAGAAGGUGAUUUUGGUGUUGCUGCACAACUGGCUAGAACCAUGUCCAAACGUAACAUGGUACUGUAUUUUACGCCCUCCAUUUCUAAAUCUCCGGCUGACCAUUCCCCCCAACAGCUUCUCGUUCUUUCUUUUUCCCCUUUUGCCAAGUGAUGCGGUUAAUGGACCCAUUUUGUCCAUGGGUGCAAGGAGAUCACAUGAUGAUACCGAUUCUAAUGACAGUUGUUGAUUUUGUUGCAAAUUGUCAUGGAUAUUCAAUUAUGAUGAUGUAAUUAUGUGGUUGAAGUGAAUCUUAGAAUAUUGAAGGUUGUGUUUAAA